UGGGGCAUAUUCCACAAUGGGCGCAAGCCUGAUGCAGCCAUGCCGCGUGUAUGAAGAAGGCCUUCGGGUUGUAAAGUACUUUCAGCGGGGAUGAAGGGAGUAAAGUUAAUACCUUUGCUCAUUGACGUUACCCGCAGAAGAAGCACCGGCUACCUCCGUGCCAGCAGCCGCGGUAAUACGGAGGGUGCAAGCGUUAAUCGGAAUUACUGGGCGUAAAGCGCACGCAGGCGGUUUGUUAAGUCAGAUGUGAAAUCCCCGGGCUCAACCUGGGAACUGCAUCUGAUACUGGCAAGCUUGAGUCUCGUAGAGGGGGGUAGAAUUCCAGGUGUAGCGGUGAAAUGCGUAGAGAUCUGGAGGAAUACCGGUGGCGAAGGCGGCCCCCUGGACGAAGACUGACGCUCAGGUGCGAAAGCGUGGGGAGCAAACA
rnacentral:rRNA from 1 species